UAGGGAAUCUUCCGCAAUGGACGCAAGUCUGACGGAGCAACGCCGCGUGAGUGAAGAAGGAUUUCGGUUCGUAAAACUCUGUUGUUAGAGAAGAACAGCGCAUAGAGUAACUGUUAUGCGUGUGACGGUAUCUAACCAGAAAGCCACGGCUAACUACGUGCCAGCAGCCGCGGUAAUACGUAGGUGGCAAGCGUUGUCCGGCUUUAUUGGGCGUAAAGCGAGCGCAGGCGGUCAAUUAAGUCUGAUGUGAAAGCCCCCGGCUCAACCGGGGAGGGUCAUUGGAAACUGGUUGACUUGAGUGCAGAAGAGGAGAGUGGAAUUCCAUGUGUAGCGGUGAAAUGCGUAGAUAUAUGGAGGAACACCAGUGGCGAAGGCGACUCUCUGGUCUGUAACUGACGCUGAGGCUCGAAAGCGUGGGUAGCAAACAGG
rnacentral:rRNA from 1 species